ACAAGCCAAGGUGAGGAGGGAUGAGGUGAGGGGAUAUUCCAUCUUGAAGAUGUUACAGAUCCACAGUGACCUCCCGUGCGGCUGACAGACCAUUUGCAGCCCAUGUCUGAAACACGAUGAUACGCAAAUGAGAGAGCGACCGUGGCACCAUCAUGCCAUAAACGUGCAAGCACUUCUGGAGCA
rnacentral:lncRNA from 1 species